GCGGAGUGCUUCUUUUGUAAGAAGCAGGGGCACUGGAAGAGGAAUUGUCCUCUAUACAUUGCCUCACUGGACCCGAACAGGCCGAAGAAGAAGCAAGGUAUUUGUUGGGUAUAAAAUACCCACAGCCGAAGUCCUCAGCAGAAUCAGCUCCAUUAGACUCCGCCCGAACUCCUAUGGGAACCGGGCUCCGCCUACGACUCCAACCUCAAGGGGGACUUCGCCCGGACUCCUACGGGAGUCGGGCUUCAUCGCCAACGUCAACCGUCGGUAAGCCUUGUCCGGACUC
rnacentral:lncRNA from 1 species